CAGCAGCCGCGGUAAUACGAACCGUGCGAACGUUAUUCGGAAUCACUGGGCUUAAAGCGCGUGUAGGCGGAUGGGAACGUCGGAGACUGAAAGCCCCCGGCUCAACCGGGGAAGUGGUGCCGAAACGACCCGUCUGGAGGGACGUAGGGGGAUCUGGAACUUCCGGUGGAGCGGUGAAAUGCGUUGAGAUCGGAAGGAACGCCCGUGGCGAAAGCGAGGUCCUGGACGUCUGCUGACGCUGAGACGCGAAAGCUAGGGGAGCAAACGGGAUUAGAUACCCCGGUAGUCCUAGCCGUAAACGAUGGACACUAGGUGUUGGCGGUAUCAACCCCGCCAGUGCCGAAGCUAACGCAUUAAGUGUCCCGCCUGGGGAGUACGGCCGCAAGGCUAAAACUCAAAGGAAUUGACGG
rnacentral:rRNA from 1 species